rnacentral:tRNA from 1 species
ACAGUGGCAGUUCAGUGGUAGAAUUCUUGCCUUCUAUGAGAAAGACCCAGGUUUGAUUCCUGGCCAAUGCC